UCCUAUACUGACAAAGAACUGUGGCUGUCUA
rnacentral:piRNA from 1 species